UACGUAGGGCGCAAGCGUUAUCCGGAAUUAUUGGGCGUAAAGAGCUCGUAGGCGGUCUGUCGCGUCGGUCGUGAAAACCUGCAGCUUAACUGUGGGCGUGCGGUCGAUACGGGCAUGACUGGAGUUCGGCAGGGGAGACUGGAAUUCCUGGUGUAGCGGUGAAAUGCGCAGAUAUCAGGAGGAACACCGGUGGCGAAGGCGGGUCUCUGGGCCGAUACUGACGCUGAGGAGCGAAAGCGUGGGGAGCGAACAGG
rnacentral:rRNA from 1 species